rnacentral:rRNA from 1 species
GUGCCAGCAGCCGCGGUAAGACGAACCGUGCAAACGUUAUUCGGAAUCACUGGGCUUAAAGGGCGCGUAGGCGGGCCGCCAGGUCCGGGGUGAAAGCCUCCAGCUCAACUGGAGAAGUGCCUUGGAUACCGGCGGCCUCGAGGGAGGUAGGGGCGUGCGGAACUUCGGGUGGAGCGGUGAAAUGCGUAGAUAUCCGAAGGAACACCGGUGGCGAAAGCGGCGCGCUGGAUCUCUUCUGACGCUGAGGCGCGAAAGCCAGGGGAGCAAACGGGAUUAGAUACCCCAGUAGUCC